AUUUUUUUCUUGAAUAUCUGGAAGUUCAAGCCCGAAAGUCUACAUCUUCUAGAGACGAGAGCCACACCAAGUUAAAUUUAUCUCCUCAAAUACAACAUUUCCACAUGCAUGAGAGAUUUACCACUGGGUCAACAGCUCUAGUGUUUCAAAAUGUUUGAUGUUUUGGCUAUAACACAAGGGUUAUGACAUACAUU
rnacentral:sRNA from 1 species